UGGACCAGGACCAGGAAGCAACU
rnacentral:piRNA from 1 species